rnacentral:lncRNA from 1 species
AGUGAUUGUUUUUAAUGGUUUGGUUGCUUGAAUUCGCAUAAUAGGUUGGUUAGGAAUAUGAAAGCUAACAACCUUAUGAAAACAAUCAAUUUUUGCAUGAUGAGUAGUUAACCAAUCAAUCCCUAGAAUCACAUCAAAUGCAAGUAUUUUUAAUGAAAUAAGAUCGACAGGUAACGUGCGGUUACCAAUUUGAAUCAAACAAGACUUAUAAACAGUGGAUGUAAUGAAGGUUUCUCCCAACGGAGUUUCCACAAAUAAGUCAAAGUCUAAUUUCUUCG